UACGGAAGGCAGCAGUAGGGAAUCUUCCGCAAUGGACGAAAGUCUGACGGAGCAACGCCGCGUGAACGAUGAAGGCUUUCGGGUCGUAAAGUUCUGUUGUUAGGGAAGAACAAGUACCAGAGUAACUGCUGGUACCUUGACGGUACCUAACCAGAAAGCCACGGCUAACUACGUGCCAGCAGCCGCGGUAAUACGUAGGUGGCAAGCGUUGUCCGGAAUUAUUGGGCGUAAAGCGCGCGCAGGUGGUUCCUUAAGUCUGAUGUGAAAGCCUACGGCUCAACCGUGGAGGGUCAUUGGAAACUGGGGGACUUGAGUGCAGAAGAGGAAAGUGGAAUUCCACGUGUAGCGGUGAAAUGCGUAGAGAUGUGGAGGAACACCAGUGGCGAAGGCGACUUUUCUGGGUCUGUAACUGACACUGAGGCGCGAAAGCGUGGGGAGCGAACAGGGAUUAGAUACCCGU
rnacentral:rRNA from 1 species